rnacentral:rRNA from 1 species
AGUGAACGCUGGCGGUAGGCCUAACACAUGCAAGUCGAACGGCAGCACAGUAAGAGCUUGCUCUUACGGGUGGCGAGUGGCGGACGGGUGAGGAAUACAUCGGAAUCUACUUUUUCGUGGGGGAUAACGUAGGGAAACUUACGCUAAUACCGCAUACGACCUACGGGUGAAAGCAGGGGAUCUUCGGACCUUGCGCGAUUGAAUGAGCCGAUGUCGGAUUAGCUAGUUGGCGGGGUAAAGGCCCACCAAGGCGACGAUCCGUAGCUGGUCUGAGAGGAUGAUCAGCCACCCUGGAACUGAGACACGGCCCAGACUCCUACGGGAGGCAGCAGUGGGGAAUAUUGGACAAUGGGCGCAAGCCUGAUCCAGCCAUACCGCGUGGGUGAAGAAGGCCUUCGGGUUGUAAAGCCCUUUUGUUGGGAAAGAAAAGCAGCAGGUUAAAACCCCGCUGUUCGGACGGUGCCCAAAGAAUAAGCACCGGCGAACUUCGU